UACGAAGGGGGCUAGCGUUGCUCGGAAUCACUGGGCGUAAAGCGCACGUAGGCGGAUUGUUAAGUCAGGGGUGAAAUCCUGGAGCUCAACUCCAGAACUGCCUUUGAUACUGGCGAUCUCGAGUCCGGGAGAGGUGAGUGGAACUGCGAGUGUAGAGGUGAAAUUGUAGAUAUUCGGAAGAACACCAGUGGCGAAGGCGGCUCACUGGACUGGUAUUGACGCUGAGGUGCGAAAGCGUGGGGAGCAAACAGG
rnacentral:rRNA from 1 species